UUUUACAUGAGAGUUUGAUCCUGGCUCAGGACGAACGCUGGCGGCGUGCCUAAUACAUGCAAGUCGAGCGGACAAAAG
rnacentral:rRNA from 1 species